rnacentral:miRNA from 1 species
GUGUGUGUGUGUGUGUAUAUGUAUAUAUGUGUAUAUAUGUAUAUAUGUAUGUAUACACACACACACAC